rnacentral:snRNA from 1 species
AGCUUUGCGCAGUGGCAGUAUCGUAGCCAAUGAGGUUUAUCCGAGGCGUGAUUAUUGCUAAUUGAAAAAUAUGAUACCUAUAAUCAAAGGGUCAUUGAGUAUAAAAAGGACAUGAAAACAGUAUAGUACUUGGCAUGUAGGAUUAUCUUAGUAAUAUUUGCAUUAUUUAAUAUGAU